AUUGAACGCUGGCGGCAGGCCUAACACAUGCAAGUCGAACGAGUGGCGGACGGGUGAGUAAUGACUGGGAAACUGCCUGAUGGAGAGGGAUAACUACUGGAAACGGUUGCUAAUACCGCAUACCAUCAGCUGUGCCCAGAUAGGAUUAGCGUGUGGUUGGGGUAACGGCUCACCAAGGCGACGAGCCCUCGCUGGGCUGAGAGGAUGACCAGCCCCACUGUAACUGAUACACGGUCCAGACUCCUACGGGAGGCAGCAGUGGGGAAUAUUGGCCAAUGGGCGCAAGCCUGAUUCAGCCAUGCCGCGUGUGUGAAGAAGGCCUUCGGGUUGUAAAGUACUUUCAGUGGGGAGGCGUUACCCGCAGAAGAAGCACCGGCUAACUCCGUGCCAGCAGCCGCGGUAAUAC
rnacentral:rRNA from 1 species